AUCGAACGCUGGCGGCAGGCCUAACACAUGCAAGUCGAGCGGAGCGGCGGACGGGUGAGUAAUGCCUAGGAAUCUGCCUGGUAGUGGGGGAUAACGUCCGGAAACGGGCGCUAAUACCGCAUACUAUCAGAUGAGCCUAGGUCGGAUGAGCUAGUUGGUGGGGUAAAGGCCUACCAAGGCGACGAUCCGUAACUGGUCUGAGAGGAUGAUCAGUCAAACGGGAACGGAGACACGGUCAAACCUCCUACGGGAGGAAGCAGUGGGGAAUAUUGGACAAUGGGCGAAAGGCUGAUCGAGCCAUGCCGCGUGGGUGAAGAAGGUAUUCGGAUUGUAAAGCUCUUUAAGUUGGGAGGCGUUACCAACAGAAUAAGCACCGGCUAACUUCGUGCCAGCAGCCGCGGUAAUAC
rnacentral:rRNA from 1 species